AUUGAACGCUGGCGGCAGGCCUAACACAUGCAAGUCGAACGAGAGGCGGCCGGGUGAGUAAUGUCUGGAAAACUGCCUGAUGGCGGGGGAUAAAUACUGGCAACGGUCGCUAAUACCGCAAACCAUCGGAUGUGCCCAGAUUGGAUUAGCUAGUAGGUGGGGUAAAGGCUCAACUAGGCGACGAUCCCUAGCUGGUCUGAGAGGCUGACCAGCAACACUGGAACUGAGACACGGUCCAGACUCCUGCGGGAGGCAGCAGUGGGGAAUAUUGCACAAUGGGCGCAAGCCUGAUGCAGCCAUGCCGCGUGUAUGAAGAAGGCCUUCGGGUUGUAAAGUACUUUCAGCGGGGAGGCGUUACCCGCAGAAGAAGCACCGGCUAACUCCGUGCCAGCCGCCGCGGUAAUUC
rnacentral:rRNA from 1 species